rnacentral:rRNA from 1 species
GACGAACGCUGGCGGCGUGCUUAACACAUGCAAGUCGAACGGAAAGGCCCUGCUUGCAGGGUACUCGAGUGGCGAACGGGUGGGUAACUCGUGGGUGAUCUGCCCUGCACUUCGGGUUAGGCCUGGGCAACAGGGCGUAAUACCGGACAGGAGCUAUUUUUAGUGUGAUGGUUGGAAAGUUUUGUAGGUGUAGGAUGAGCUGGCGGCCUAUCGGCUUGCUGGUGGGGUGAUGGACUACCAAGGCGGCGGCGGGUAGCCGGCCUGGGGGGGUGGACGGCGACAUUGAGACCGAGGUGCGGCCGAGACUGCUACGGGAGGCAGCAGGGGGGAAGCUUGCACAAGGGGCGCAAGCCUGAUGCAGCGGGGCCGCGGGGGGGAUGACUGCGUUCGGGUUGUAGACCCCAUGCGCUAGGGACGAAGCAUUUUGUGACGGUACCUAGAGAAGAAGCACCGGCUAACUACGUG